rnacentral:rRNA from 1 species
GACGAACGCGGGCGGCGUGCUUAAUACAUGCAAGUCGAACGCACGAAGUUGAAGAGCUUGUCUUUAACCAAGUGAGUGGCGGACGGGUGAGUAACACGUGGGUAACCUACCCAUUAGAGGGGGAUAACAUUCGGAAACGGAUGCUAAUACCGCAUAGUUUCAGGAAUCGCAUGAUUCGUGAAGGAAAGGUGGCUUCGGCUACCACUAAUGGAUGGACCCGCGGCGUAUUAGCUAGUUGGUGAGGUAAUGGCUCACCAAGGCAAUGAUACGUAGCCGACCUGAGAGGGUGAUCGGCCACACUGGGACUGAGACACGGCCCAGACUCCUACGGGAGGCAGCAGUAGGGAAUCUUCCGCAAUGGACGAAAGUCUGACGGAGCAACGCCGCGUGAGUGAAGAAGGUUUUCGGAUCGUAAAACUCUGUUGUUAAAGAAGAACAAGGAUGAGAGUAACUGCUCAUCCCCUGACGGUAUUUAACCAGAAAGCCACGGCUAACUACGUGCCAGCAGCCGCGGUAAUACGUAGGUGGCAAGCGUUGUCCGGAUUUAUUGGGCGUAAAGCGAGCGCAGGCGGUUCUUUAAGUCUGAUGUGAAAGCCCCCGGCUCAACCGGGGAGGGUCAUUGGAAACUGGAGAACUUGAGUGCAGAAGAGGAGAGUGGAAUUCCACGUGUAGCGGUGAAAUGCGUAGAUAUGUGGAGGAACACCAGUGGCGAAGGCGACUCUCUGGUCUGUAACUGACGCUGAGGCUCGAAAGCGUGGGGAGCAAACAGG